CUUAUACUCCCUCCAUUCAGAAAUACUUAUCUUAAAAAUGAAUAAAAUGGAUGGAUCUAUAACUAAAAUAAGUCUACAUAUAUGCAUUUUUAGGACAAGUAUUUCGGGACGGAGGGAGUAUUUA
rfam:Hordeum vulgare subsp. vulgare, WGS project CAJW01000000 data, contig: morex_contig_51894